rnacentral:rRNA from 1 species
CCUACGGGAGGCAGCAGUAGGGAAUCUUCCGAUGGAGAAGUCUGACGGAGCACGCCGCGUGAGUGAGAAGGUUUUCGGAUCGUAAACUCUGUUGUCAGGGAAGAACAAGUAUGGGAGUAACUGCCCGUACCUUGACGGUACCUGGCCAGAAAGCCACGGCUAACUACGUGCCAGCAGCCGCGGUAAUACUGGUGGCAAGCGUUGUCCGGAAUUAUUG